GAUUUCAACUGAAAAAGUCAUUAAUAACAAAGUGGUAUAACUUAUCAAAAUCUAUAACUUUUAUUUUGGUUAUUUUUUCAUCCGACAAAGUGAUUUAUAAGAUUGUUUACAAAAUGUACAUAUCUCUUAUAUAGUUUUAUAAACUAUAAGAGAGAUAUAAAUUUUGAACAAAUGUUACCAUCACUUUGUCGGAUGAAGAAAUGACCAAAAUAGAAGUUAUAGAUCUUCCCGAGUUAUACAACUUUGUUAUUGAUGACUUUUUCAGCUGAAAUC
rnacentral:pre_miRNA from 1 species